rnacentral:lncRNA from 1 species
UUCUCCGGGCGCGGUCGCGCGUGGGGCGGGCGGUGGGUCGCGGAGGUCGCGCCCUGGCCCGCGUCGGCAGCGCGACACGAUGGAGAGGGGCUCGGGAAAGAGGCACCGCCGCCUGCGUCGCGUCCACACUGAAUGGAGGCAGACCUGGGGGCCCCGAGCGAACGCGCAGGAAGGGCUGCUUUUGGGGGCGAGGCUGCGCUUGCUGCGGGUUUAUAACCGGCCAGGCGGCCCCCAACGCCGCAGAGGACAGAACGACAGACACCAUCCGGCCCCGCCAGCCAGGGAGGCUCCGUUGGAACAAGGCAUCUCUGCAGAGUCAAGAAAGAGGGGGACUCCAGAAACAGGAAUCUCACCGGGAAGACCCACACCCCCCUCCAGCCUCUGACCCGAGAUGGAUCAGAGCUUCAGAGGAGAAGCAUUGGAAACCCAGAAAAGGAGCGUAAGGCUCAGAGCGGCCAAGGCUUGAGUGAUUUGCCUACAAUCAGCUGCUGGGUACCUGGCCGGCGCUGGACGUUUUGAGGCGAGAGUGGGUAAGCUCGAAUCAUCCUGGUCCUCUUCCCUCCUCCUCCAGGAGGGCCUUCCCGGGUUUUGGCACUCUUAGGAGAACAACACACAAUGCACAGAUCCCAGAACACUUUUCAUCAUCUCAGACAACAACUCUGUGACCUUAACCAGUGAUGCUUCGUUCGUUCCUCCCCUAGAGCCUGGCAACCUCUCCUCUCUAGGUCUGUGAAUGUCCCUGUUCUAGACAUUUUGUGUAUGUGGAAUCAUACACUCUUUUUCCUUUUGUGUUUGUCCCUUUUCACUUAAUGUUUUCAGGGUUCGCCCACGUCGUGGUAUGUUACACAGCCUCAUUCCUUCUAGUGGCUGAAUCCUAUUGCACAAACAUACCUCGAUUUGCCUCACUUCACAGACAGUGUGGUUUUUACAAAUUGAAGGUUUCUGACAACCUGUCUUGUCAGAUGAUGGUUAGCAUGUUUUUAGCAAUGAACUAUUUUUCAUUAAGGUAUGUGCAUUGUUAUAUGAGGCAUAAUCAUAGAGUAGACUACGGUAUCUGAAGUUCCCAUUGUGGUUUAGUGGGAUAAGAACCCGACUAGUAUCCAUGAGGAUUUGCCUUCGAUCCCUGGCCUCACUCUCAGUGGGUUAAAGGGUCUGGUCAGCUGUGGAGUACAUGGCUCGGAUCCUGUGUUGCUGUGGUGUAGGCCUGCAGAUGCAUCUCUGACUCAACUCCUAACCUGGGAGCUUCCAUAUGCAGCAGGUGCAGCCUUAAAUAGAAAAAAA